rnacentral:rRNA from 1 species
AAGGGCACCACAAGAACGCGUGGAGCAUGUGGCUUAAUUUGACUCAACGCGGGAAAUCUUACUGGGUCCGGACACACUGAGGAUUGACAGACAUAUAACUUUUUCUCACAUCUGUGAGAUUUAGUUAAAAUAAAGAUGCUAGUUCUUUCAUGAUUAUGUGAUAGGUGGUGCAUGGCCGUUCUUAGUUCGUGGAGUGAUCUGUCUGCUUAAUUGCGUUUCACUAUAAUAAAUAGAAUAUUUUAUGCAUUUUUAUAUUUGACCUCACAUCUCGUGUUGUGUCAUUUAUAUUUGUUUAUAUUCUAAUAAGAAAGCAACGAACGUGACCAUAUCCUUUUAUUAACUUACACAAAUUACAAGUAAGUUUUAAAAAUUAAAGGGACCGCUGUUUCAUUUCCUUAAACCAGAGGAAGGUUAUGGCAAUAACAGGUCUGUGAUGCCCUUAGAUGUUCCGGGCUGCACACGUGCUACACUGAUUAUUUCAGUAAGUAUCACAAACACAAUUAUAUUGUAUACCUACUUCGAAAGUAAGCGGGUAAUCAAUUAUAAGUAAUGAUUUCCAUAUACACAAUAUUAUGCAAUGCAUGUGUAUCCCGUGAGAUUUUUAAUUCUCGCGCGUGUGUACCAUGUAAUUUUUUUGCAUGUGUAAUUGUUAAUUCAUGGUGGGGACAGACCAUUGUUUAAAUUGUUGGUCUCGGUCUUAACUAGGAAUGCCUUGUACGGGUCUGGGUUCAACAAACCACCCGGAAUACGUCCCUGCCCUUUGUACACACCGCCCGUCGCUCUUACCGAUGAACUUUGCUAUGAGUAUAAAGGAUUGACUUCUUUGUUGAAAAUUUAUACGAAUAGUGUGGUUUAAAGGAAAGAGAAGU